UCACGCCCCGGGUGCGUCGCAGCCCCGGAACCAGGCGCCCGCCGGAGGAACCAACCAAACUCUUUCUGUAGUCCCCUCGCGGACGUAUUUCUUUACAGCUCUGAGCAAAAAUUCAAAAUGAAUCAAAACUUUCAACAACGGAUCUCUUGGUUCUGGCAUCGAUGAAGAACGCAGCGAAAUGCGAUAAGUAAUGUGAAUUGCAGAAUUCAGUGAAUCAUCGAAUCUUUGAACGCACAUUGCGCCCGCCAGUAUUCUGGCGGGCAUGCCUGUCCGAGCGUCAUUUCAACCCUCGAACCCCUCCGGGGGAUCGGCGUUGGGGAUCGGGACCCCUCACACGGGUGCCGGCCCCUAAAUACAGUGGCGGUCUCGCCGCAGCCUCUCCUGCGCAGUAGUUUGCACAACUCGCACCGGGAGCGCGGCGCGUCCACGUCCGUAAAACACCCAACUUUCUGAAAUGUUGACCUCGGAUCAGGUAGGAAU
rnacentral:rRNA from 1 species